rnacentral:rRNA from 1 species
GACGAACGCUGGCGGCGUGCCUAAUACAUGCAAGUCGAACGCAGUGGCGGACGGGUGAGUAACGCGUGAGUAACUGCCCCCCUCUCUGGGAUAACAGUUGGAAACGGCUGCUAAUCCCGGAUAGUGGGGGUUGACUCGCGUCUGAGCGGCUUGUUGGUGGGGGAGUGGCCUACCAAGGCGACGACGGGUAGCCGGCCUGGGAGGGCGACAGGCCACAGUGGGCUGGGAUACGGCCCAAAUGCCUACGGGAGGCAGCAGCGGGGAUUAGUGCACAAUGGGGGAAACCCUGAGGCAGCAACGCCGCGUGCGGGAUGACGGCCUUCGGGUUGUAAACCGCUUUCAGCCAUGACGCGGUAGUGGCAGAAGAAGCACCGGCUAACUACGUGCCAGCAGCCGCGGUAAUAC